rnacentral:lncRNA from 1 species
GGGAUAACCUAAUAGUUCUGCUUUCAGAAACAGGUUCCUAAGGCUGAGCCAGUCAGGGAAAAGAACGUUCUGUGAUCAUUUUCAUCAAGAAUAUGGCUAGGCCGGGUGUGGUGGCUCACGCCUGUAAUCCCAGUACUUUGGGAGCCUGAGGCAGAUGGAUCACUUUAGGUCAGGAGUUCAAAACCAGCCUGGCCAACAUGGUGAAACCUUGUCUCUACUAAAAAUACAAAAAAAAUUCCUGUAAUCCCAACUACUGGGGAAGCUGAGGCAGGAGAAUCACUUGAACCCAGGAGGUGGAAGUUGCAGUGAGCUGAGACAGUGCCAUUGCACACCAGGCUGGGUGAGAAAGUGAGACUGCAUCACAAAAAAACGAACAAAUAAAACAGCAGGCAAUUUGGGCUUGAGUCUUACGGUUCUUUUAACUUACAGGUUGUGAGAAGAUCUGAAGCUGUUACCAUGACACUGAGUCCCGUUAUGCCAAAGGAUGAGUGCUCUCCCACAGGGCAGCUCCCCAGAUGAUGUGAGACCUACUGAUGAUUCCAUUGGUUUCUGCCAGGUGGUACACACCCCAUUCCCAGUCUGCCAGUCAUCAUUAUGCAAUGGCUGUUUCCUUUUGGCUAGUUGGUCCCCUUCUAAGAAAAAAUAUCUCUGGACUCAAGAUGGCGCUGUGAGAACAACCCAGGAUUGGAGCCCGCGUUGAAUUCGCAAACGGGACAUGGAACUACUCAUAGAAAACUAAAAUAAAAGCUAAAUCUAUUUUGAUGAUAUCUAUGGCAGGAGAGGAGACUGAU